AGAGCUAUAGGUUAUAAUAGACCGUUGGCCUUCAAAGCCGAAAGAGGAAAUUUUCCUGGUUUUG
rnacentral:tRNA from 1 species